GAUGAACGCUGGCGGCGCGCCUAACACAUGCAAGUCGAACGGUUAAAGCACCUUCGGGUGUGUAUAAAGUGGCGAACGGCUGAGUAACACGUGGGCAACCUGCCCCUCGCACCGGGAUAGCCUCGGGAAACCGUGGUUAAUACCGGAUACUCCGGGACCCCGCAUGGGGGUGCCGGGAAAGCCCUGACGGCGAGGGAUGGGCCCGCGGCCUGUUAGCUUGUUGGCGGGUAACGCCCACCAAGGCGACGAUCAGUAGCCGGUCUGAGAGGAUGAACGGCCACAUUGGGACUGAGAUACGGCCCAG
rnacentral:rRNA from 1 species